GGUUAAGCGACUAAGCGUACACGGUGGAUGCCCUGGCAGUCAGAGGCGAUGAAGGACGUGCUAAUCUGCGAUAAGCGUCGGUAAGGUGAUAUGAACCGUUAUAACCGGCGAUUUCCGAAUGGGGAAACCCAGUGUGUUUCGACACACUAUCAUUAACUGAAUCCAUAGGUUAAUGAGGCGAACCGGGGGAACUGAAACAUCUAAGUACCCCGAGGAAAAGAAAUCAACCGAGAUUCCCCCAGUAGCGGCGAGCGAACGGGGAGCAGCCCAGAGUCUGAAUCAGUGUGUGUGUUAGUGGAAGCGUCUGGAAAGGCGCGCGAUACAGGGUGACAGCCCCGUACACAAAAAUGCACAUGCUGUGAGCUCGAUGAGUAGGGCGGGACACGUGGUAUCCUGUCUGAAUAUGGGGGGACCAUCCUCCAAGGCUAAAUACUCCUGACUGACCGAUAGUGAACCAGUACCGUGAGGGAAAGGCGAAAAGAACCCCGGCGAGGGGAGUGAAAAAGAACCUGAAACCGUGUACGUACAAGCAGUGGGAGCACGCUUAGGCGUGUGACUGCGUACCUUUUGUAUAAUGGGUCAGCGACUUAUAUUCUGUAGCAAGGUUAACCGAAUAGGGGAGCCGAAGGGAAACCGAGUCUUAACUGGGCGUUAAGUUGCAGGGUAUAGACCCGAAACCCGGUGAUCUAGCCAUGGGCAGGUUGAAGGUUGGGUAACACUAACUGGAGGACCGAACCGACUAAUGUUGAAAAAUUAGCGGAUGACUUGUGGCUGGGGGUGAAAGGCCAAUCAAACCGGGAGAUAGCUGGUUCUCCCCGAAAGCUAUUUAGGUAGCGCCUCGUGAACUCAUCUCCGGGGGUAGAGCACUGUUUCGGCAAGGGGGUCAUCCCGACUUACCAACCCGAUGCAAACUGCGAAUACCGGAGAAUGUUAUCACGGGAGACACACGGCGGGUGCUAACGUCCGUCGUGAAGAGGGAAACAACCCAGACCGCCAGCUAAGGUCCCAAAGUCAUGGUUAAGUGGGAAACGAUGUGGGAAGGCCCAGACAGCCAGGAUGUUGGCUUAGAAGCAGCCAUCAUUUAAAGAAAGCGUAAUAGCUCACUGGUCGAGUCGGCCUGCGCGGAAGAUGUAACGGGGCUAAACCAUGCACCGAAGCUGCGGCAGCGACGCUUAUGCGUUGUUGGGUAGGGGAGCGUUCUGUAAGCCUGUGAAGGUGUGCUGUGAGGCAUGCUGGAGGUAUCAGAAGUGCGAAUGCUGACAUAAGUAACGAUAAAGCGGGUGAAAAGCCCGCUCGCCGGAAGACCAAGGGUUCCUGUCCAACGUUAAUCGGGGCAGGGUGAGUCGACCCCUAAGGCGAGGCCGAAAGGCGUAGUCGAUGGGAAACAGGUUAAUAUUCCUGUACUUGGUGUUACUGCGAAGGGGGGACGGAGAAGGCUAUGUUGGCCGGGCGACGGUUGUCCCGGUUUAAGCGUGUAGGCUGGUUUUCCAGGCAAAUCCGGAAAAUCAAGGCUGAGGCGUGAUGACGAGGCACUACGGUGCUGAAGCAACAAAUGCCCUGCUUCCAGGAAAAGCCUCUAAGCAUCAGGUAACAUCAAAUCGUACCCCAAACCGACACAGGUGGUCAGGUAGAGAAUACCAAGGCGCUUGAGAGAACUCGGGUGAAGGAACUAGGCAAAAUGGUGCCGUAACUUCGGGAGAAGGCACGCUGAUAUGUAGGUGAAGUCCCUCGCGGAUGGAGCUGAAAUCAGUCGAAGAUACCAGCUGGCUGCAACUGUUUAUUAAAAACACAGCACUGUGCAAACACGAAAGUGGACGUAUACGGUGUGACGCCUGCCCGGUGCCGGAAGGUUAAUUGAUGGGGUCAGCGCAAGCGAAGCUCUUGAUCGAAGCCCCGGUAAACGGCGGCCGUAACUAUAACGGUCCUAAGGUAGCGAAAUUCCUUGUCGGGUAAGUUCCGACCUGCACGAAUGGCGUAAUGAUGGCCAGGCUGUCUCCACCCGAGACUCAGUGAAAUUGAACUCGCUGUGAAGAUGCAGUGUACCCGCGGCAAGACGGAAAGACCCCGUGAACCUUUACUAUAGCUUGACACUGAACAUUGAGCCUUGAUGUGUAGGAUAGGUGGGAGGCUUGGAAGUGUGGACGCCAGUCUGCAUGGAGCCGACCUUGAAAUACCACCCUUUAAUGUUUGAUGUUCUAACGUUGACCCGUAAUCCGGGUUGCGGACAGUGUCUGGUGGGUAGUUUGACUGGGGCGGUCUCCUCCUAAAGAGUAACGGAGGAGCACGAAGGUUGGCUAAUCCUGGUCGGACAUCAGGAGGUUAGUGCAAUGGCAUAAGCCAGCUUGACUGCGAGCGUGACGGCGCGAGCAGGUGCGAAAGCAGGUCAUAGUGAUCCGGUGGUUCUGAAUGGAAGGGCCAUCGCUCAACGGAUAAAAGGUACUCCGGGGAUAACAGGCUGAUACCGCCCAAGAGUUCAUAUCGACGGCGGUGUUUGGCACCUCGAUGUCGGCUCAUCACAUCCUGGGGCUGAAGUAGGUCCCAAGGGUAUGGCUGUUCGCCAUUUAAAGUGGUACGCGAGCUGGGUUUAGAACGUCGUGAGACAGUUCGGUCCCUAUCUGCCGUGGGCGCUGGAGAACUGAGGGGGGCUGCUCCUAGUACGAGAGGACCGGAGUGGACGCAUCACUGGUGUUCGGGUUGUCAUGCCAAUGGCACUGCCCGGUAGCUAAAUGCGGAAGAGAUAAGUGCUGAAAGCAUCUAAGCACGAAACUUGCCCCGAGAUGAGUUCUCCCUGACUCCUUGAGAGUCCUGAAGGAACGUUGAAGACGAUGACGUUGAUAGGCCGGGUGUGUAAGCGCAGCGAUGCGUUGAGCUAACCGGUACUAAUGAACCGUGAGGCUUAACCUU
rnacentral:rRNA from 1 species